AGGAGGCAGCAGAUAUGUUUGCUGGUGGCAUAUUUGCGUGCGUUAGGGGAUUCCGUAAGCCUGAACUUACGUCUCCAAAUUGGUACUUCACGGAGAAUUGGCUGCUCGCGUGAAGUGUAAUUAGUUCCAACUAGAUCGUGGACAUUCGUUCACGGACUGUCGUAUCCUGGGUAGCCUACGGGUAUUGGAGUGUCGUGACGCGCCCGUUCUGCUGCAGAUUGAUUACUCUGUUUCUCACCAGUCGGUAGCCUGCAGAUUGCUAGCUGUGGGGCCGACUGCUGGUCCGAGUUGCUGCUUUGUUUGGAGAGAGUCCUGGCUGAUGACGCGCGCCGAGGGCGUGUGUACAGGAGCGCGACUGUGACGAGCGAGUGUUGAGUGUAUGUGAGUGUGUUUGGUGCGUCUGGGAGCAGUGGCAAUUGGUGCUCCCAUGAGCGGUGACUGCGCGUAUGGAUGUGUGUGCACUUCCUUUCUGUUUUAUUUGUGCUCGUUUGGCGAGUUUGUUUGUCCCCUUUUGUAUUUAUUUUCUGGAGUUGUGCACAUUGCCGUAAUUUGACUAGCUCGUUUGGGCCGCCCCUAGCCUACUCCAUAGCUUCACGCUUGCUGUGUAAAUACUAACUGUGUUAUCUAUCAAGUGUAAAUAAUUGUGUGCGUGUUAUUCUCCUGCAUGUCUAUCACUAACUUUUGUUUGCCGUGCAAAGUGUCAUAAUGCAUGUAUCCUAAGUAUUGAAGCUCAGGUUGGGUCGGGGAGAGUCUUUGUCUUGCGUUGUCUAUUCAGGUUUCUGUGAACAGCCUCAGUGGACUAUUGUAAAUACUAUUUUUUUACUUUCAAGAAGAAAUUGUGUAUUAAUAAAACAAUAAUGGAAUGGUU